CAGUAGCCGCGGUAAUUCGUAGGGGGCAAGCGUUAUCCGGGUUCAUUGGGCGUAAAGCGCUCGUAGGCGGUCUGUUAGGUCGGGAGUUAAAUCCGGAGGCUCAACCUCCGUUCGCUCCCGAUACCGGCAGACUUGAGUUUGGUAGGGGAAGGUGGAAUUCCUAGUGUAGCGGUGGAAUGCGCAGAUAUUAGGAAGAACACCAGUGGCGAAGGCGGCCUUCUGGGCCAUAACUGACGCUGAGGAGCGAAAGCUAGGGGAGCAAACAGGAUUAGAUACCCCAGUAGUCCCUGUCUCUUAUACA
rnacentral:rRNA from 1 species